ensembl:ncRNA K10C3.13 ncRNA
UUCACUCGAAUAACUGUAUACAAAACGCUAGAAAAACGGGCUCCGAAGUUUUGUAGUAUUAUUUACAAACACUUAUCCAAUAUUCUAAUA